CUGUGCUGAGGGUGGAGCUGGAUGCAUGGCCCCAUCCCAGGACCCCGAGGCCAUAACCUGAGGCAAAAUAAAGAGUCAGAUGUUUAAUCAACUGAGCCACCCAGGUACCCUAUGACUUUUACUUUUUAAAAGUGAAAUCAUUUUAAGAAGGAAGCCCAAACUAAAUUUGACUAUUCUUCAAUGUUAAAUUACAAGGUGUGGUUUUCCUGCUGUCCUUAAAAUUUGAAAUAAACAACAAUUUAACACAUGCUCACCCCAACCAGGAAAACAAAGUGCAUUAGGGUCAUGGACUGGGGCUCAAUCAGUUAGGCAUCCAAGCCUUGGUUUCGGCUCAGGUCCUGAUCUCAGCGUCUUGGGAUCAAGCCCAGUGUCGGGCUCCUCUCUCAGCAGGGAAUCGGCCUAGCAUUCUUUCUCUUUUCCUCUCUCCUCCUCUGCUCCCUCUGCACUCUUUCAAAUAAACGAAUAAAAUCUUAAAAAAAAAAAAAAAAAAAAAAAAAAAAGAAAGAAAAAGAAAAAAACGCCACGUACUGCAACGUGAACACCUGUGUUGUGCUCUUGCAGAGCCACUAGAGGGAGCACACGUAACUAACGUGCGGGUCCCAGAGCCCGGCGCCUCUGAGGAUGCAGGCAGUUACAUUCGGGAGGACGGCACAGGCUUCCAUCCUGGUGUCUGUGCUGAAAAACCACUAAGCGAAGUAGUUAAUCAUAAGACCAGGAAGACAAUGUUUCCCAUUAUAGAGCAUCCUCUUCCUAGAAACUCCAGAGAAAGACAGGAAGAUACCAGACUUGACCCUAGUUUUGGAGCUUUAGGGCAAGAGCAUCCAGAAAUGCACAGCUCUCAACAAGGGCCUCUUCCCAAGCCCCCUUCCCUGAGCAGGGGCAGGGGGUGUGAGUUCUUUGAUGUAGAAUCCAGGGGAGGGUUGGAAACACUGCAAAAGAACAAUCACACAAGAAGAGAGAAAGGAAGGCUAGACCCCACAGGCCCUCAGGUGACAAGAUGAUCAGUCAAUGGGACAUUAACAAGGCAGGGUAAGUGAUACAGGUCGGGGCAGAAUUCUGCACUCACCGCCUGGCCACAUAUGGACACGUGCCUCCUCUUUUACCUGCCCAUGACCUCCACUUGCUGUUCUGCCUCAGUGAUGUUCCCCCGCCCCAGUGAAUAACAGAGUGCAUAGCAGUAAAGGAACUCUGUUCAUAUACACACAUUCUCACAGUCCUGCCCCGCAUCAAAGUAUUUGGUCUCUUCUGGCACUGCCGGGUGAUGAUGUAAAGCUGUGCAUAUCUUCAGGUGACUCUCCUUAUCACAUUCUGUCUCCUAGGGGCCUCCCCAACUUCUCUAACCAGCCUUGCCUCUUGCCAAACUCCCCCCACCCUCUUCUGGAACCACAGCAGACAAGGUGGCUUUCCCAAACCCAGCCUGCACACUGACUAAUCCAUAUCAUUGUGUUUGUCUGUCCCCUUUAUGUUCCUACCACAUUCUCUUUCCCUUCACUCCCUGGUGAAAUUCUACCCAACUCUGAGAUCUAGCUCAAAUGUCACCUCCUGUAGGAAUUCUUACUUAGCUGCCCCACCAUGUCAUCAACUUAGAAUUAAUAUGUCCACGUUCUAUGCCCGUCUUGCUCUGUUGGAGCUCCUAUCACAUUCUGCUUGUCUCUGACCUGUGUCAUGACAGCUUCCCUGACACUUAUUCCAACUUCCUUGCAGGGAGGACCAAGACUUCUGGAUUUUUCUAUUCCUUUGAGUUUUUAAUACAGAGUCAGGGACUGAAAAAACAUUUACUAAACUGAUUGACCACUAUAGUUUCUUUAAAAGAACAUAUAAUGAUUUAAGAAUUGUUUAUAUACUUGUACAAAUUACUCUCAGAAAAGGUUGUAAAAAAGAGUCACCCCAUUUCUUUGGUUUGACUUAAAUUCAAGUCAGUUAACAUAUAGUAUAUUAUUAAUUUUGGGGUAGAAUUUAGUGAUUCGUCUGUUGCAUAUAACACUUAGUGCUCAUCCCAUC
rnacentral:lncRNA from 12 species